rnacentral:rRNA from 1 species
CCUACGGGAGGCAGCAGUGGGGAAUCUUAGACAAUGGGGGCAACCCUGAUCUAGCCAUGCCGCGUGAGUGAUGAAGGCCUUAGGGUCGUAAAGCUCUUUCGCCUGUGAUGAUAAUGACAGUAGCAGGUAAAGAAACCCCGGCUAACUCCGUGCCAGCAGCCGCGGUAAUACGGAGGGGGUUAGCGUUGUUCGGAAUUACUGGGCGUAAAGCGCGCGUAGGCGGAUUAGAAAGUUGGGGGUGAAAUCCCGGGGCUCAACCCCGGAACUGCCUCCAAAACUGCUAGUCUAGAGUUCGAGAGAGGUGAGUGGAAUUCCGAGUGUAGAGGUGAAAUUCGUAGAUAUUCGGAGGAACACCAGUGGCGAAGGCGGCUCACUGGCUCGAUACUGACGCUGAGGUGCGAAAGUGUGGGGAGCAAACAGGAUUAGAUACCCUGGUAGUCCACACCGUAAACGAUGAAUGCCAGUCGUCGGGUAGUAUACUAUUCGGUGACACACCUAACGGAUUAAGCAUUCCGCCUGGGGAGUACGGUCGCAAGAUUAAAACUCAAAUGAAUUGACGG